rnacentral:rRNA from 1 species
UACGUAGGGUGCAAGCGUUAAUCGGAAUUACUGGGCGUAAAGCGUGCGCAGGCGGUUGGGCAAGACAGAUGUGAAAUCCCCGGGCUCAACCUGGGAAUGGCAUUUGUGACUGCCCGGCUAGAGUGUGUCAGAGGGGGGAAGAAUUCCACGUGUAGCAGUGAAAUGCGUAGAGAUGUGGAGGAAUACCGAUGGCGAAGGCAGCCCCCUGGGAUAACACUGACGCUCAUGCACGAAAGCGUGGGGAGCAAACAGG